rnacentral:rRNA from 1 species
UUGACCUCAAAUCAAGUAGGACUACCCGCUGAACUUAAGCAUAUCAAUAAGCGGAGGAAAAGAAACUAACAAGGAUUCCCCUAGUAACUGCGAGUGAAGCUUGAAAAGCUCAAAUUUAAAAUCUGGCGGUCUUGCGGCCGUCCGAGUUGUAAUCUGGAGAAGCGUUUAUCCACGUCAGACCGUGUACAACUCUUCUGGAAGGGAGCGUCGUAGAGGGUGAGAAUCCCGUCUUUGACACGGACAAYCGGUGCUUUUGUGAUGCGCUCUCGAAGAGUCGAGUUGUUUGGGAAUGCAGCUCAAAAUGGGUGGUAAAUUCCAUCUAAAGCUAGUAUUGU